rnacentral:sRNA from 1 species
GAUGGUUUACACCAGUAAUACUUUUUUAUAAGCUUUAAUAAGCAUAUUUUAUAAGCAGUAUAAAAUGACAUUCGUCUUCAAUGUCUGUAAUACAAAUUUUACAAAAUCUUUUGUCUCUUGGUAUAUUUUUAUGUCGUCCUGUUUCAAUAAGCAGAUUAUGUAAGGACAACCUCAUUUUGGAAAUACUUAUUUUUUACAACUUUGGUAUUGAUUUUUCUAAAUAAUAUUGUAAGCAAAAAUUAUCAACUAAGUGCUUGUAAAUAAAACAUUUUGUUUCUAUUUGUAUCUUGUCAUGCAACGUUUGAAUAAAGUUGUCUUU